GAUAAAAUUCUCCGAACGCCAUGAUUUCUACCGUCGCUUUGCACAGUGGGAGAUAGUAGUGUUCAUAUGAAUCGUCCACCGGCUCGGUAUAGACUUAAGUCGCCGUUCCACCGCUAGGAGACGACGAUCAGCGAUUGCUUUCGAAUCUUAUAAAAUUACACUCAAAUAAGGAUUUUGUGGUGAACAGAUAGAGCGGGCUCGUCGAAGAUGGUCUCGCUCUCCCAGAACCGCAUCAUUAUGGCUUCCAACGGACUGUUGCCUGUUGCCACAUUGCAUACCCGAUGUUGUUGAGACGAAUGCGUUGUGUUCCCUGUUACCACUCAUCCAAACUGCGUUUCUACCAACCAUGGCAGAC